rnacentral:rRNA from 1 species
UACGAGUGCCUCGAGCGUUAUCCGGAAUUACUGGGCGUAAAGGGUGCGUAGGCGGUCAUGUUAGUCUUCGGUGAAAUCUCCCGGCUCAACCGGGAACACGCCGGGGAAACGGCAUGACUAGAGGAUGCGAGAGGUUUGCGGAACUCAUGGUGUAGGGGUGAAAUCCGUUGAUAUCAUGGGGAACACCGAAAGCGAAGGCAGCAAACUGGCACACUCCUGACGCUGAAGCACGAAAGCGUGGGUAGCGAAU